rnacentral:rRNA from 1 species
GACGAACGCUGGCGGCGCGCUUAACACAUGCAAGUCGAACGGAAAGGCCCUGCUUUUGUGGGGUGCUCGAGUGGCGAACGGGUGAGUAACACGUGAGUAACCUGCCCUUGACUUUGGGAUAACUUCAGGAAACUGGGGCUAAUACCGGAUAGGAGCUCCUGCUGCAUGGUGGGGGUUGGAAAGUUUCGGCGGUUGGGGAUGGACUCGCGGCUUAUCAGCUUGUUGGUGGGGUAGUGGCUUACCAAGGCUUUGACGGGUAGCCGGCCUGAGAGGGUGACCGGCCACAUUGGGACUGAGAGACGGCCCAGACUCCUACGGGAGGCAGCAGUGGGGAAUAUUGCACAAUGGGCGGAAGCCGGAUGCAGCAACGCCGCGUGCGGGAUGACGGCCUUCGGGGUGUAAACCGCUUUCGCCUGUGACGAAGCGUGAGUGACGGUAAUGGGUAAAGAAGCACCGGCUAACUACGUG